rnacentral:rRNA from 1 species
GAAAGGCCCUUCGGGGUACUCGAGCGGCGAACGGGUGAGUAACACGUGAGUAACCUGCCCUGGACUUUGGGAUAACCCUCGGAAACGGGGGCUAAUACCGAAUACGACACAGCUUCGCAUGAGGUCUGUGUGGAAAGUUUUUUCGGUCUGGGAUGGACUCGCGGCCUAUCAGCUUGUUGGGGGGGUAAUGGCCUACCAAGGCGACGACGGGUAGCCGGCCUGAGAGGGCGACCGGCCACACUGGGACUGAGACACGGCCCAAACUCCUACGGGAGGCAGCAGGGGGGAAUAUUGCACAAUGGGCGGAAGCCUGAUGCAGCGACGCCGCGUGAGGGAUGACGGCCUUCGGGUUGUAAACCUCUUUCAGCAGGGACGAAGCGCAAGUGACGGUACCUGCAAAAAAAGCGCCGGCCAACUACGUGCCAGCAGCCGCGGUAAGACGUAGGGCGCGAGCGUUGUCCGGAUUUAUUGGGCGUAAAGAGCUCGUAGGCGGCUUGUCGCGUCGAAUGUGAAAACCCGAGGCUCAACUUCGGGCUUGCAUUCGAUACGGGCAGGCUAAAGUUCGGUAGGGGAGACUGGAAUUCCUGGUGUAGCGGUGAAAUGCGCAGAUAUCAGGAGGAACACCGGUGGCGAAGGCGGGUCUCUGGGCCGAUACUGACGCUGAGGAGCGAAAGCGUGGGGAGCGAACAGGAUUAGAUACCCUGGUAGUCCACGCUGUAAACGUUGGGCGCUAGGUGUGGGGACCCUCUCCGGGUUUC